rnacentral:rRNA from 1 species
GAGAGGAGCUUGCUCCUGGAUUCAGCGGCGGACGGGUGAGUAAUGCCUAGGAAUCUGCCUGGUAGUGGGGGACAACGUUUCGAAAGGAACGCUAAUACCGCAUACGUCCUACGGGAGAAAGCAGGGGACCUUCGGGCCUUGCGCUAUCAGAUGAGCCUAGGUCGGAUUAGCUAGUUGGUGAGGUAAUGGCUCACCAAGGCGACGAUCCGUAACUGGUCUGAGAGGAUGAUCAGUCACACUGGAACUGAGACACGGUCCAGACUCCUACGGGAGGCAGCAGUGGGGAAUAUUGGACAAUGGGCGAAAGCCUGAUCCAGCCAUGCCGCGUGUGUGAAGAAGGUCUUCGGAUUGUAAAGCACUUUAAGUUGGGAGGAAGGGUUGUAGAUUAAUACUCUGCAAUUUUGACGUUACCGACAGAAUAAGCACCGGCUAACUCUGUGCCAGCAGCCGCGGUAAUACAGAGGGUGCAAGCGUUAAUCGGAAUUACUGGGCGUAAAGCGCGCGUAGGUGGUUUGUUAAGUUGGAUGUGAAAU